CCUUUAUGCUCAAGCCAUUUCUGAAAUUUGGUGCAAUCCUUCUUCAUGUGUCCCUUCUUUUUACAGAAGAAGCAUUUAUUUUCUUUCUUGAUUUCACCUUGGGGUGGUAUUUUACCUUUCCCCCUUUGUUUGGUUUGGUUCUGAUUCUUCCCUUGGUUUUAGUCCCUUUCACGUGUUACUAAUGAUGCAUUCUCACCCAUUUCCAUAGCUAGCCUUCCUUCAUCUUGAACACACAUGAUCAGAAGUUCAUUGAUUGACUAUUUGUCCUUAUGCGUGUUAUAAGAGAUUUUGAAGGGUCCAUAUUGAUGCGGAAGAGUGUUCAAUAGUAGUGCACAAGGAACGAAUCAGACGUUUCAAACUCCAAAGUUUUCAACUGAGCCGCAAUGUCCCUCAUCUGCAUGAUGUGCUCACGCACACCUCUCACACUGGUGAGUCUUAAGAAUGAAAAUUUCAUUAUCAAGAUACUAGCAAGUGCUUUAUCUAAAAUCACAAAUUGUUCAUCAAUAGCCUUCAGUAACGCCUUAACAUUGUCAUGUUGAUCCACGGAACCUUGAAUACAGAAGAGAUUUUAGUUUUUAUGAACAUCACAUUAAGGCGAGUAGAUCGUUCCCAUUGUUUAUAAACAGUCCUUUCUUUUGGAGUGCUGGUUGCAAUAAUAGUUGCUUUGUCCUUCCUGAUAGCAUAAUCAAUGUCCAUGCACCCUAAAUGAAGGAAAAUUCUCUCCUUUCACAUCUUAUAAUUGUCCCCUUUCAGUUCGGGAAUGUCACACUUUAUAUCAGAAAAAUUUGCAGAUUGCAUGACUGUAAAAAAUUAAAU
rnacentral:lncRNA from 1 species